UACGUAGGGGGCGAGCGUUGUCCGGAUUUAUUGGGCGUAAAGGGCUCGUAGGCGGUUUGCCGCGUCGGGAGUGAAAUCCACUGGCUUAACUGGUGGCUUGCUUUCGAUACGGGCAGACUGGAGGUAUGCAGGGGAGAACGGAAUUCCUGGUGUAGCGGUGAAAUGCGCAGAUAUCAGGAAGAACACCUAUGGCGAAGGCAGCACUCUGGGACGGUACUGACGCUGAGACGCGAAAGCGUGGGGAGCGAACAGG
rnacentral:rRNA from 1 species